UCGGGCGCGCCGUUGUUCAACCGUUGGCAAUUUGUUUGCAAAAGUAACUUGAUGCAGUUUGUUGGGUGGUAGUUGUAAUGCCUUUGGAGUGAAUCUCGCUAGGCUGUUGCUUUGUGAAAAAACUUUGUGUUGUGUCGUCACUGCAGAACAGCUAUGACGAGAGCGAGCACAAGCUUCGCGGGCCAGUCACAUGGGCCAGUCAUCAUGGAACCUGUUGCGAUAUGUGAGGGCAGAGGGCAAGCCGGGUGGAAGCCACGAGAUGUUAUCGCACGCUUCACGAACUUCGACCAAGUUGCACAUUGAUAUUACCGCCUUACUUUGGCAGCCGUGGCCAGAAAACAGCAGCUGACUUGUUUUGGCUGGCAGUCCAGCCUUCUUCCGAGAUGUAAGUGAAAGACCUGGAGUGAAGGGCCGCUCACUGAAUUCAGGGGCCACAGAAGGACAUUUGAGACAUCAUCUAUGACAUAAGGACACCUCAGCCAUCAUUGAUGGCUCUCAAGAUUGGAUGAUCUCAAAUACGCACCACACAGUGACAAAAAUGCUGCGGAAACAUUUGCAAAAGAUGGAGCCGAAGUGGACGUGUCUGCUCACCCCGGCGACCGCAGCGUCUCCUCCAGCUGUUCCAUGCAUAGGGAUCUCGUACGCCUGUCAACCCACUUGCCUGAGGGAUCCACCUACGCGCAUGAGCCAAAAUGGCAGCAAAGCUUCGAAUCAAUGGGAGUCUCCAGGAGUGAAUAUGUGCCAUAUUUCGCACCAUGUCCUGGUGAGUCUGAGUGGCUGUCGCCGAAAAGCGUCACACCACUGUUUUUCGCCUUCACAUCAUCAAGCAGUGAUGUCUGCAACUUUUGCCACAUGUAAAUUCUGCCUGAAUUCAGCUCAAGUGAAGCCACAUUACAUAUGCCUGCUUGUGUAGGCAGUGGUAAAUAAAUCAUCACAGUACACUAUUUGAUCUGUUUCCCAUGAGCCAGACAUACGGCAAACUACAGCAGUGCAACUUUACGAGAAAUGUCGGUAAAGAAGCAGCAACGCAAGAAUUCUAACUCAGUUUCCUUGUUGCAUUGCAUUGAUGCAUACACAGAGGUGCCAUCUGUACGUUAUCAGCCACAAAUUGGCAGUCACAUUUGGAUGGACGGGAAAUGCCAAAGGGCCGUGUACUAUGCGAGGUCAGCACACGUUAAAAAACACCAGGUGGUUGAUAGUGCAGGAGCGUACCACUAUGGCAUCUCUUAUAAUCAUAUUGCAGUUUUGGGAUGUAAAACAUGAGAUAUUCUUGUCAGCCUCAAAUGCAGUCUAAAAGGCAUUUUAUUGAGUUUUCAGGCUGGUAGAAUUGCUGAAAUAGAAAAUGUUGCAAAAGGUGAUAUGGUUAUCUUGCAGGUUUUCUUUGCCAACAAGAAACAUCAUAGGUUCUGGCCACUUUGCCAAAGAUAUGU